rnacentral:rRNA from 1 species
CCUACGGGGGGCAGCAGUGGGGAAUAUUGGACAAUGGGGGCAACCCUGAUCCAGCCAUGCCGCGUGUGUGAAGAAGGCCCUCGGGUUGUAAAGCACUUUCAGUGAGGAAGAACGCCUGGUGGUUAAUACCCAUCAGGAAAGACAUCACUCACAGAAGAAGCACCGGCUAACUCCGUGCCAGCAGCCGCAGUAAUACGGAGGGUGCGAGCGUUAAUCGGAAUUACUGGGCGUAAAGCGCGCGUAGGUGGCUUGAUAAGCCGGUUGUGAAAGCCCCGGGCUCAACCUGGGAACGGCAUCCGGAACUGUCAAGCUAGAGUGCAGGAGAGGAAGGUAGAAUUCCCGGUGUAGCGGUGAAAUGCGUAGAGAUCGGGAGGAAUACCAGUGGCGAAGGCGGCCUUCUGGACUGACACUGACACUGAGGUGCGAAAGCGUGGGUAGCAAACAGGAUUAGAUACCCGUGUAGUC